AUACGGAGGGUGCGAGCGUUAUCCGGAUUUAUUAGGUUUAAAGGGUGUGUAGGCGGGAGCCUAAGUCAGUGGUGAAAUCUCACAGCUUAACUGUGAAACUGCCAUUGAAACUGGGUUUCUUGAGUAUAGUUGAGGUAGGCGGAAUGUGUAAUGUAGCGGUGAAAUGCAUAGAUAUUACACAGAACACCGAUUGCGAAGGCAGCUUACUAAGCUAUUACUGACGCUGAUGCACGAAAGCGUGGGUAGCGAACAGGAUUAGAUACCCCGGUAGUCC
rnacentral:rRNA from 1 species